CACCUCAGCCCUGACCUUCUUCCGGACUCGCUGCAGGACGGAAACCGCGGAGAACCAAACUUCCUGGCGUCUCAAAGCUCCGCCCUUUCCCAGACUCGCAAUUCCGUCCGCUUCAAUCCCCCAGCCUCCAACUCUGAAGUGGAAAGAGAGGUGGCCUGUUCAGGAGAGCAAGGCACGACUGAGGAGCCAGGCUUUGGAUGAAGAUCUGCCACAGAACGAUGUGGAAAGGAUAUAAAUAUCCUCCAGGAGGGACCCCUGUGGAAGUAGCCAAAGAUGAUCCUGGUGAAGUAAUGCAGCUCUGAAGCUCACCUGACCAGCUGUACAGUUCCUGUUGUUGGUUUCGCAUAAAGUAAUUGCACAUUA